GCAUCAACAACAUAUGUCAGGUUGUGAAGCACUGGUGAUACUGAUGGAGAACUAGGCAUUCUGGCUCUGGCUUGCUCUGCAGGGAGAUAACAUACCGAACACGCUGAAUGACAAGCAAACAAGAAAAAGAGACCAGUAGCAACUCAAAACUUACGGCGUGGUCCAAGCCGUUUUCUACUGGGUGGAGGAGGAGGUGGGAGGGAAAACUUGCGGCAUGGAUGGUCUGAUGAACCACCACUGCCCUCACUAAUUCGAUGGGGAGGAGGAGAAGGAGCUCUAAUCCUGCCAUUUCUUUCUCCAGUGUGAGAAGGAUCCAUUUCCAAAGCGAGAGUUGAACGGCUCUUCAAGUUUGAACUAGAGCUUUCUGGUGCACCACCAUACAAAAUGGACAUCAAUAUAUUGUAUCAAGCAGCAAAACAAUGAACUGGUAAUCAAUUGAUGGCAUCUUUUCUUUCAUUUA